AGACAAGGAUGCCCACUCUUGCCACUUUUAUUCAACAUAGUCCUGGAAAUUCUAGUCACAGCAGAGAACAAAUAAAAGGAAUCCAAAUUAAAAAGGAAGAAGGAAAACUGUCAUUUUUUGCAUACAUAUAAAAUCCUAAAGAUGCCACCAAAAAAAUACUAGAGUUCAAUGAAUUUGAUAAGAGUUGCAGGAUACAAAGUUAAUGCACAGAAAUUUGUCACAUUUCCAUACACUAACAACAAACUAUCAGAAAGAAGAAAAUAAGGAAACAAUGGCAUUUACCAUCACAUUAAAAAGAGUAAAAUAUCUAGGAAUAAGUCUGAGGAGGUGAAAGACCUCCUUGGAAAACAAUAAUACACUAAUUAAAGAAAUUGAAGAUGACACAAAUAGAUGGAAAGAUGUACUGUGUUCUUAUAUUGGAAGAAUUAAUCUUGUUAAAAUAACCAUAGUUCCCAAGGCAAUCUACAGAUUCAACGAAAUCCCUGUCAAAAUACCAUUGGCAUUUUCACAAAACAAGAACAAAAGUUUUUAAUUUGUACAGAAACACAAAAGACUCUGAAUAGCCAAAGCAAUUCUGAGAAAAAAAGAACACAGCUGGAGGGAGAUAUCAUGUUCCCUGACUUCAAAUUAUAGUACAAAGUUACAGUACUCAAAACAGAUGCAUAACAAUGGAACAGAAUAGAAAGUCCUGAAAUAAAUCCAUGAACUUAUGGUCAAUUAACCUAUGACAAAGGAGGCAAGAGUUUACAAUGGAGAAAAGACAGUUUCUUCAAUAAGUGGUGCUGGGAAAACUGGACAGCUACAUGUAAGAGUGAAAUUAGAACAUUUUCUCACACCAUAUACAAAGCUAAACUCAAUAUGAAUUAAAGACCUAAAUGUAAUACCAGAAACCAUACAACUUCUAGGAGAAAAUAUAAGCAGAAUGAUUUGGAUAAAUUAUAGCAACAUUUUUUCAGAUUUGUCUGCUAAGGCCAAGGAAACAGAAGCAAAACAAGCAAGUAGGACCUAAUUAAAGUUAAAAGAUUUUGUAUAGCAGACCAAACAACCUGACUAAAAAAGGAGCAGAACACCUGAACAGACAUUUUUCCAAAGAAGACAUGCAGAUGACCAUCAGGCACAUAAAAAGAUGCUCAACAUCUCUAAUCAGUUCAGUUCAGUCGCUCAGUCGUGUCCGACUCUUUGUGACCCCAUGAAUUGCAGCACGCCAGGCCUCCCUGUCCAUCACCAACUCCCGGAGUUCACUCAGACUCACGUCCAUCGAAUCAGUGAUGCCAUCCAACCAUCUCAUCCUCUGUCAUCCCCUUCUCCUCCUGCCCCCAAUCCCUCCCAGCAUCAGAGUCUUUUCCAAUGAGUCAACUCUUCGCAUGAGGUGGCCAAAGUACUGGAGUUUCAGCUUCAGGGACUGAAAAGGAGGGAUAGAGGAAAAGAGAGACCAGAGAGGUGUGAGGAGAAAUUUUGCUGUCUGCCAUCUCUCAGGAGCUGUGGUUCGCCUGUGCUGAGUUUUAAGCACACAGUUCAUGAGGAGCAGCUGUGG
ensembl:lncRNA